rnacentral:rRNA from 1 species
AGUGAACGCUGGCGGUAGGCCUAACACAUGCAAGUCGAACGGCAGCACAGGAGAGCUUGCUCUCUGGGUGGCGAGUGGCGGACGGGUGAGGAAUACAUCGGAAUCUGCCCAGUCGUGGGGGAUAACGUAGGGAAACUUACGCUAAUACCGCAUACGACCUUCGGGUGAAAGAGGGGGAUCGCAAGACCUCUCGCGAUUGGAUGAGCCGAUGUCGGAUUAGCUAGUUGGCGGGGUAAUGGCCCACCAAGGCGACGAUCCGUAGCUGGUCUGAGAGGAUGAUCAGCCACACUGGAACUGAGACACGGUCCAGACUCCUACGGGAGGCAGCAGUGAGGAAUAUUGGACAAUGGGCGCAAGCCUGAUCCAGCCAUACCGCGUGGGUGAAGAAGGCCUUCGGGUUGUAAAGCCCUUUUGUUGGGAAAGAAAUCUUUCAGGCUAAUACCCUGGGAGGAUGACGGUACCCAAAGAAUAAGCACCGGCUAACUUCGUG